UGCACUCCAGCCUGGGCAACAAGAGCAAAACUCCAUCUCAAAAUAAAUAAAUAAAAGGUACUUCUGAAGAACACGUGAUAACUUUUUGUUGAACGAACACUUACAUGGCACUGUCUACCAGGUCCUGUUCAAUGUACUUUAUAAGUAUUCACAUUUAAUUCUUAAAACAAUCCUAUGAAGUUGGUAUUAUUAUUAUCCUCAUUCCACAACUGGAAAGCAGAAAAAAGAAAAGUAGGCAACUUGCCCCUGGUAAUAUAGCUGAUAAGUAGCAAAGUGAGGUUUAAACUGGAAAUAGUACUCCAGGGCCCAAGUUGUUAACCUGAUCAUUAAGCUACGCUGCCUUGGGAUACACUACUGCUCAUGAAGAGUGGUAAAGGACUGCAUUACAGGGAUGGACUCUGGAGUAAAUAGAUGUAGUUAAUUUCUAGCCCCAGAGUUCUUGAGUAAUGAAAUCUUGGACAAAUUAAUUCUUUCCUCUAAGCUUUGUUUCCCUCAUCUCCAAAUUGAGAAUAAUAGCUAAUGUUUAUCUCAUAGAUUUGCUGUAAAAAUAAGAAAAUGCUUGUAAAAUUUUUAGUAAAAUGUCUGUGCAUGGGUAGUAUUAAGGGACAUUAAUAGUCCCUUAUUAGAGAGGGAAUAUUAAUAAUAGUAAUAAUAAUAGAGAAAGAUCAAGGUUCAAAAUAGUAAGCAUAACAAGUAUGAUUGAUUCCAUUUAUAUAACAUACAAAAACAAGCCAAACUAUGCUGUUGGAAGAAAAGGAAACAAUUAUCCUAGCAAGGGUGAGAAUUAGUGACUGUAAGGCAGCAGCAUCAUGAGAUUUCUUGAGUGCUGCUUACCAAGAUGUGUUCAAUCUAUGAAAAUUUAUGGAGCUAUACACUUAAUUUGUGCACUAUUCUGUAUACUUCAGUAUAAAGCUUAAAAAUUCUACAUCCCAUGUUUUUAUGAUUAAACACAAUUAACAUUGCAUAGAAAGAAGUUUGGACAGAAAUGCACCAAAAGUUUAAUUGCUGUUAUGAUUUAGUUAUGUGGCUUUGUAUAGUUAACAUUUGUAGAACACUCAUUACAUGCUAGGUUCUAUUCUACUGGCUUUCCUUGCAUUCUCUCAUUUUAUCCUCUAACAAACCUAUGAAAUAAGAACACAGGUUCAGAGAAAUUAAAUUCUUUCUUGUUUUCUAUAUUUUCUAUGUUAGGUUGAAAGUACAUAUGGUAUUUUGUAAAUGAAAUUAUUAAAAUAUGUGUACAUCCUGUUCUAGUAUGCUCAGUGUUCGCUUAGUGCUGCCACUACUGAAUGCAGAACAAAAAUGCCCACUGCAAUUUCCUUCUUCCCUCUUAAGUGAUUUACAGAACAAGGAAACCAAGAAUAGGAUCUAGCCUAGUAGCUAAGAGUGGGGGGGUGGGGGUGCUGGGGGUUGGGGAAAGGCUGUUUUCUUUCUUCCUCCUUUCUCUUCGGGCCGUACUAACUCCUAGAUGUAGGGAUAGGUAGGGAAAGUUUCUGCCCACUCCCUCCAUAGGUCACCUGCAGCAUUUCCCAGAAUUCCUGGCUUCUGGAAAGAGUUUCCAGGAAAUGAAGCAGCUGCUGCUUUUUCUCUCUAGAAAGAAUCAAAUUGAUAGCAUGCCUUUGAAUCCCACUUUUAGGCUACACGGAGACAAAUAUACAAGUAGAGAGCAGACUCUCUAGGAGGAAGAAAAGCAGAUAUACCUCCUAGCAGAGUGAAAAGGUUCUUAAGCUUGUGAAUAUAUGAAUUCACAGUGGGAGGUCCAUGUUCAAUCAUUGGUAGGCCAUAUACAAUAAAAAUAAAAGUUGUGUUGUAUGGGUUGGAUCUGUGUCCCCACCAAAUCUCAUGUUGAAAGGUAAUCCCAAAUACUGGAGGUGGGUCUGGUGGGAGGUCAUUGGAUCAUGGGGGCAGUUUCUCAUGGUUUAACACCAUCCCCCCUUGGUGCUGUCUUCAGGAUAGUGAAUUCUCAUGAUAUCUAGUUGUAUAAAAGUGUAUGGCCUCUCCCACCUCUCUCUCUUCCUCCUGUUCCAGCCAUGUGAAGUGCUGGUUUCCCCUUUGCCUUCCACCUUGAUUGUAAGUUCCCUGAGGCCUCCCCAGAAGCUGAUGCUGCCAUGCUUCCUAUACAGCCUACAGAACCAUGAGCCAAUUAAACCUCUUUUCUUUAUAAAUUACCCAGACUCAGGUAUUUCUUUAUAGAAGUGCAAGAAUGGACUAGUACGGGUGUCUACAUGAGAAAUUACUCUUUCUGUUUUAUUACAUCUUUCUUUCUCAGGUUUUGUCCUUCACCUAAAAGUAAUUAAAGCUGAUUAGUUUCAAAAUAAAUUAUGUACUUGAUAUAUGGUAUGCUUCUGAAUAAUUAAUCUUUAUAUUGUUUAAGGGUCAUAUUUAAAUAUUUUAAUGCUUUUAAUAAUUACUUUUUAUUCCUGUAACAAGAAAAUAUAUUUCCUCCAAAAUAUAUGUGGCUCCUGGCAAGUAGCCAUUUUUCAACUUUAUGAUUCACUUAAAAAACAUGUUUUUCAUAUUAUAAACCAUGCUGUUUCAUUUUUGUCUUGCUUUGAGCAGAAAUAGUGUAUGGUAAAAGCUAAGAGAAAAAACAGGAGAAAUUUGGUAAGUGGCAGUCUUUAGAUGAUCUUGGCCUAUUUCAAAAUUUUUAUCUCAACCUUGUUAUAUUAAUUUCACUUUAUGUGCAUAUUUGAGUUAAAAAAUGUCUUGGUAUCAAUGUUAUGUUCAUAUAUUUCUUUUUAAAUUUGGUUAUGUAAAACAUGUAAAAUAUAUGGAUAUUUGAGCAGUAAAAACAUUUUGAACCUUUAAUUCAACUUUUUCCACAGAAUUUUGACUGCCUUAUCUCAUAAAAGAAGUAUGUGUGUUCAUCUUAUUUUCACUAUUGAGAUAAAUCACACAAAAAACCCAACAGUGAGCAGUAAAGAUUCACUUAUACAUGACCUGAAGGUUGGAGAAUUACCAGGCCCCAUGUAGUUUACAUUGUCCAAAACCACCCUGACGAGAGUUACAAGGGGAGUCAUAGGGGAAGUUCUAACUCUCAGACAAAUGUUGCAGGAAACACUGACUGCUACUUAUAGAGAGGUCCAGGAAAUAAAGUAUUCCUGUUAAGUUUGGAAAAGCUGCACAAAUGUGUCUUUACUUAGCAACUCACAACACCUUUGAAUACAGGAAAGACUCCUGACUUUAAAGAAAGCUACCUGACUUUAUUAACCCCAGUGUUAACAUUCUGUAGAACAUUGUUCUUAAACAAGCUUUUAAUCCGGUGGUCCUGUAAAGGCUCAAAUGUCCUAAUCCCUUUGCCAACGUGGAGGAGUACUGUAUGUCUUCAAGAGCCCAGGAGUUCUAUCUAGGAAAUAUCCUCUUUCCCCGGGUCUAGAUUAUACCAGCCAAGUUAGCCUCAUGGCAGGCCCAUGUGGGACCUACAGAACUUCCUGAUAUUUAUGAGGUUUAUAGUUUAAACCCCAAAUUGGAGUCUAACUUAGAGGGUGGGGUAAGGAAGAAACUUUACAUAGGUAAGUUUCUGAUCCUUAUCCUGAAAAAAGAACACGAGUUCACUGGGAUCCACCUUACAGCCCAGGCAUUGUAAACGCUGAGGAUUUUCUUCACUUUGGUCCCUAUCUUAUUCUAUACCAUGCCGCAGUAUGCAUACAAAGUAAAAACAGUCAACUCUAAUGCCAUUAUAGGGAUGAGUCUAUCACAGGAAGAGCUCUUGGUCCUGUGGCUCUGCAUUGGCCUGCCAGAAUCAACAAUGAUGUCUGGGAGCUGACGUGUCUUGGCUGAAGUCAGCAUUCAAGGCGAUUAUCUAGGUCACUGCAGCCUAGAGCAGCUGCGGACUCAACUCAGGCAGGCAACUCACAAGGCUAAGCAGAUGCACCAUUCUGUAAAUACUGGCACUGGAGAUGUUGAAAACUACCAGGAAAUUCUCUACUAAGAGUUUUCCAUUCCUGAGGCUUUUUAUAGAACUAGCCACAAUUCUAUCACUGCAGUCUCAUUCCUGCAGAACCUGGAGGGGUUUGAGGAAUAAUUUUAUUCAGCAUCCAUAGAGCCAAGUACAAAAGAACCCUCUUCUAACAAGGUGGCAAGCUGGAAAGGCUUGACCCCAACCAUCUGUGCACAUGUCUCAGGCCAUUAGAAUCGCUUUAGGCCAUUCCUGCCGGUUGGGUCUUUGGGAGGCUUCUAUUUGGCACAACAUUUCAAUACGCUAUGACAUAUUAAGCAUGCUCUAGAGCUGAACAUCCAAUCAGAAAGGCCCGGGUGGAUGGCAGAGGGAGCUCCUGAGCCAGUGUCCAUUCUUCACCUUGAGAAGAACAUUAAUGGAUGCUGCAUUUCAGAGCUCCCCAUGUCGAAGAGCUGAAACACUAUUCUAGUUAUUGUUUGUGUCCUAAUGAAAAUGUUCCUCUAUUUCUUUGUUUCCAAAGGAAGUCACCUGCCUCACUGGUAUUCUCAGCCAUAUAAUAGAGAGUUUUGGUAGAGCUAUUUAAGGUGCUCCAGCUACAAAUGCAUUUUUUCAUCAUUUGUCAUCCACAAAACAGUGACCAGACAGAACACAUCCAGAAGAUAUUUGAAAGACACCUUCAGAGCCCUCUCCCCAGAAGUAGAGUGGUGAAAAAUGACAGACGGUGAUGGAGUAAGAAAAUCUCACCCUGCAGCACUUACAUUAUGACCUUAUAAUAUUUUGGUUUGUGUUUAAUUAUCUUCUUAUGCCAAUAAUCUUAUGCAUCUUAUGUUAUUUCAGAUAAUAAACUUAGACAAAAGAA
rnacentral:lncRNA from 1 species